GACGAACGCUGGCGGCGUGCUUAACACAUGCAAGUCGAGCGGAAAGGCCCUGCUUUUGUGGGGUGCUCGAGUGGCGAACGGGUGAGUAACACGUGAGUAACCUGCCCUUGACUUUGGGAUAACUUCAGGAAACUGGGGCUAAUACCGGAUAGGAGCUCCUGCUGCAUGGUGGGGGUUGGAAAGUUUCGGCGGUUGGGGAUGGACUCGCGGCUUAUCAGCUUGUUGGUGGGGUAGUGGCUUACCAAGGCUUUGACGGGAAGCCGGCCUGAGAGGGUGACCGGCCACAUUGGGACUGAGAUACGGCCCAGACUCCUACGGGAGGCAGCAGUGGGGAAUAUUGCACAAUGGGCGGAAGCCUGAUGCAGCAACGCCGCGUGCGGGAUGACGGCCUUCGGGUUGUAAACCGCUUUCGCCUGUGACGAAGCGUGAGUGACGGUAAUGGGUAAAGAAGCACCGGCUAACUACGUG
rnacentral:rRNA from 1 species